GCGUCGAGCGGCGGACGGGUGAGUAAUGCCUGGGAAAUUGCCCUGAUGUGGGGGAUAACCAUUGGAAACGAUGGCUAAUACCGCAUAACGUCUACGGACCAAAGAGGGGGACCUUCGGGCCUCUCGCUUCAGGAUAUGCCCAGGUGGGAUUAGCUAGUUGGUGAGGUAAUGGCUCACCAAGGCGACGAUCCCUAGCUGGUCUGAGAGGAUGAUCAGCCACACUGGAACUGAGACACGGUCCAGACUCCUACGGGAGGCAGCAGUGGGGAAUAUUGCACAAUGGGCGCAAGCCUGAUGCAGCCAUGCCGCGUGUAUGAAGAAGGCCUUCGGGUUGUAAAGUACUUUCAGUCGUGAGGAAGGCAUUAAAGUUAAUAGCUUUAUUGUUUGACGUUAGCGACAGAAGAAGCACCGGCUAACUCCGUGCCAGCAGCCGCGGUAAUACGGAGGGUGCGAGCGUUAAUCGGAAUUACUGGGCGUAAAGCGCAUGCAGGUGGUUUGUUAAGUCAGAUGUGAAAGCCCGGGGCUCAACCUCGGAACCGCAUUUGAAACUGGCAGGCUAGAGUACUGUAGAGGGGGGUAGAAUUUCAGGUGUAGCGGUGAAAUGCGUAGAGAUCUGAAGGAAUACCAGUGGCGAAGGCGGCCCCCUGGACAGAUACUGACACUCAGAUGCGAAAGCGUGGGGAGCAAACAGGAUUAGAUACCCUGGUAGUCCACGCCGUAAACGAUGUCUACUUGGAGGUUGUGGCCUUGAGCCGUGGCUUUCGGAGCUAACGCGUUAAGUAGACCGCCUGGGGAGUACGGUCGCAAGAUUAAAACUCAAAUGAAUUGACGGGGGCCCGCACAAGCGGGUGGGAGCAUGUGGUUUAAUUCGAUG
rnacentral:rRNA from 1 species